ensembl:lncRNA
CGAAGAACAAAAGGUAUAAUUUUCCAAUUUAGUGUGAGUGUGUGUGUGUGUGUGUGUGUGUGUGUGUGUGUGUGUGUGUGUGUGUGUGUGUGUGUGUGUGUGUGUGUGAUUUUUUUUUCCCCCCCAUCUAUAACAUAAAUUAAUAAAGUCAAAAACAGAUCUUCAGAGAGAGGGUCGUUAUUAAGUGUGGACACUUAUGAUUAGCCAUGAAAAGUGAUCUGUUCUGUCUCUAAAACAUAAUUACAGACAAGCACAGUCUGAUUAGCUAAUAACACUUGUGCAGUUGUGGUUUUACAUCUUGACUAAAUACUGAAUAAUUCCUAAAAGUGCAGGCUGGAAAAAAGUGAACUCUUGAGUCAGUAACGUGUAAACCUUCUUUCAGUGAGCAUGAGGGGAGAUUUGGGAUUUGGGUUGUCGGUAUAACAGCCCUCUUAGAGUCACAAUAUCUAUCAGGAGUCCAAAGCAUGCAUACCCCCCCCCCAAUCCUUCUUUUACUGAUUCACUUGUGUGCUUUAAAUUAUUGUUUUGCUAUGUUAUGCUAUGUGUUGAUGAAGCAUGAUGCUUCCUCCACUGUGCUUCAGACUGGGGUUUUGAGGCAGUAUCUUUUUUCCCCCUCAAAAAUAGUGUUGAGCAUUUUUCUGAGAAUUUUUUUUUCUCCCCUGACUAUUUUCUGGUCUCUUCAAAGAACAUCCAACUGUUCUUUGCAAACUGGAGUGGUGCUGCAAUACUUUUCUUUCUUUUUUUGUUUUCCUUUUCCUUAAUCUUAUUCCAUUUUUUUUUCUUUAAAGUGGAUGUGUGAAAAAAGAUUUCACAACUUCUUAAAAAUCUGCAACUUCUUUGCUGUUACCUUGGGUUAUUUUUUUUUAAACAUAUUUUCAGGAUUGCAUAUUUAGCUCUUGGUGUUGUUAUCUUUGCAGGACAUCCACUCCUGGUGAGAGCAGCAACAGUUCGAACUCCUUUCAGUUUGUAAACAGUAUUGCUUUAUUGUGGACUGAUGAACAUCCAGAUCUUAAGAAAUACUUUGUAACCAUUGCCAGCUUUGUGAAUCUCUGCAACACUUCCUCUAAGGUCCUGUCAAACUUGUGAUCAAGGCAAGAGCCGUUAGUCGUCAGUUACCAGACUUUGUAUGCAUUUAUUUGUAGGGAGGGGCCUUCUACAAACCACACUUCCCACGCCUGACUCCAGACACCUUUUGGAGAAGUCAGAGGUGACUUUUUCCAGCCUGCACUGUGAGUAAAUAAUUAGCAAGUACGACUGCAUGAGUGUUAUUUAUGUACUUAGGUAGUGUUUGCCGAUCAUUUUGACUUUGAUGAAGAUGAGAGAACAUUGUGAAGAAGAAAUGUAGAAAUUCCAAACAGUUUACCAUCCAGUGACAACACUUUUAUGCUUCAUAAUUGUAGAGAUGAAUAUGUUAACAAAACAAUGUCUGAUCCCAUCAAUGAACAUGAGAAAAAUACAAACAAAUAAGAACAUAAGAAACUAGCUUCUCUCAAGGUUCACCAUUGUUACUUGUUGUAAAUUAAAAUGAGUCUGGUAUUGUUUUCCU